CCCGUUCCACCCCCACCUAUUCCCCACUCCCGUCUCCUCCCCAACCCCCACUUCUCUUCCCCAACCCCGUGACGCGCCGGCGGCGGCCACCCAAGCCCCUCCUCCUCCGCCUCCGGGCACCACCGCCCUCUUCUCUCCCCUGCACCCCAACCUCUCUCUCACUCCUGCAGCCCCCUCCCCCUCGUUCCCACGGUGAACCCUAGCCCUGGUGCUCGAUUUGGGCUACCCAACUCCGGCGAACGGACCACCCCGCCACCGGCGUGGCUCUCACGGCCGGCAGGGACGAGGACGGCAACAAGUUCAAGGUCACCACCACCACCCGCGUCCGCAAGCUCGCCCGCGCGCGACUCUCCAAGGCCGCCGUCGAGCGCCACAACUGGGCCAAGUUCGGCGACGCCGCCAGCACCCUCCUUCCCCUCGUCGAAUCCUUCUCCCCCAGCGCACCAAGGUGCACAUUUCAAGAACGGUUUGGUUUGAAGAUAUAUCAGGUGACAAAGACAAUAAAGAGGUUAUCUGAAUAAUUAUGCUAUAUCGGUUCCUGACUUGAGGAGAACGUUGAGGAUGACGACAAGGUCGGGGAAGCUCUCCUUGUCGAGCCGGCGAGACCGACACUGCCCUCUCGGUGGCAAGAAGCUGAGACAAGCUGGAGCUCUGCUUGUCCAGCUAAAGCUUCCACGAGGCCGCAAGCUGGAGGCGUCCUGAGCCCAGCACUUGAUGGAUCGAGAGGAAGCUGGCGGGAUGGAGGCGGGCAUCCGCGCGCUGUGCUGGGUGCAGCGGGCAGCUAGCUAGCUUGUUGUGCUACAUCUGAUCGCACAUUGUAACUUUAUAAUUAUUUAAAAUCUUUUUUUUGUUUCUUAAAUUCAUUACCGCCGGCGCUUAGCCCUGGAUGCCAGGGGUAACUGAUUUUAAUUC